GGUUAUGGUUCAGUGGAAGAGUGCUUGCCUCCCACAUAUGAGGCACUGGGUUCAAUCCUCAGCACCA
rnacentral:tRNA from 1 species